UUUUCACAUUAAGCAAAUAUAUGUACUCUCUAUCUUUCAAUUUAACAUAUACUGUAAAUACUUUCUGGUUUCACAUUUAGCAAACAUGUUCUAUGUUCUAAUGAAUGGUACCUUCUACGAAAAUGAUUAUUAAACAUUGUGUUCACUGUUUAACGUUUUAAGUUUGUGACAUAGACUAAAGUACUUUUUUUUGAUUAGCUACAAACAUGAACAUUUUGUUAACAUUUUAGGAACAAAUAUCUCAAGAGAGAAAGCUCGCGAAAGAAAGAAAAGAAAUCUCACACCUCUGGAAUCUGAAUGAAGACCCCGCUCUCACCGGAAAAAUUAUUCAUUAUAUAAAACCAGGUCAAAGUCAGUAUGAAUUAACUGACAAAUAAACACCUCAAUAUGGAACUGUUAUGCUUCUUUAUUUAUAUCCAAUAACAUAGUUUCGCGCUAAGGUGACUCCUUGCGUAUGACUUCUAUGACACUCAAUCAAAAUUUAUCUUAAACAGUGCACGUGGUUGUAUAAUAUGUUAAUGUGAUGAGAAACAAAGAAAUAAAUUAAGCCCACGGUACAUUUUUUCACACUUGCAAUUCUAUGUUCGAAACUGCUAACUGGUGCGGGUAAAAUGAUGUAUAUGGAAUCAGUAUGCGUAAGAAUGCUCAUCUUUUUCAAGAUAAGGUGUGAUAAUUACCUUGACAAAAAUAUACUAAAAACUGUUUUUCAGGAUGCUUUACCUCAGUAGGUAACAAAAGAGCUAUGAAUUCACAAAAAAUUGAACUGCAUGAACCAAGCAUUGCACAAGAACUUUGUAUGAUACAGAACAAGAAUACCACGAUAACUAUAAUGCCGUUGAGUGGCCAGAUAAGGGUUAACGGCAUGAAUAUCACGGGACAAACAACUCUGAAACAUCAGGACAGGGUUUUCUUCAGUGCAAACAAUGUGUUUGUACUCCAUAAUCCCGUGGAGGAGAGACUGUUAAAACAAUCUGGUAAAGUGAUAAAACCUGUCACAUUUGAGAUGGCACAAAAUGAAAUUGGAGAACACAGUAAUGUUCAGUCAAAAGGGUAUGGCUGGUUUAGAGACGAAAUCGCAGAGACGCUGAUCCUAACUCACGAAGCAAAUGCCAUAGCGCUGGAACUGAAUCGAGGAAUAAGGUAUUUAUACGCGUUGAUACAACUGAAGGUGGUCAGUUUCUGUGGGGGAAGAACCAUUUUCAGGACAGGUUUGAUCUUAUGAUGGAAGUCUUUAGGAACUUCGAACGUGGAGUAGAAGACUGGGAACCUAAAACAAAGAUUACACUAUAUUCAUCAAAAUCAUUAUUAAAUUAAUGUACUGGUGUUCAUUUGUUACAUUAUCGGUAAACAGUUAACAGGUGUAGCCAUUGUGCCUUUUGAAUCACUGGCUUACACGUUGGACAUAGAAGAGCAAAUGAUUGGUAUCUAUGACUACCAAGCUCGUCUUGUGGGUCAUCUCGGCGUUUGUCUCGUACCUUGCACUGAAGAUUAUUAUUAUUAUUAUACCAGAUUUGUUGAGCGCCCUUUUCAUAUGUAAUAUACGUUCAAAGGCGCUUUACAAUUAAACAUGUGACACAUCGCAGAUAUGUAGGAAAAUAACAAAACAAGACAUAUGCAAUCACAAAACUGAGAUGGAGAAGAAAUGUCGGAUGAAUUAUCUGUGCAGGAACCACUGGAUUUGUGUCAUAUAUACAGUCUAUGCAAAAUUUGAUGGACAUGAACAUAUUAAAAAUAUUCACCUCAGCUGUGGACGAGAAGCUUUAAAUAAAGACAUUUCGUUCAAAGUGAAGAUCAAGGGGUCCGUCGGAAUUCCAAAACGAUUUAAAUCGUCCUGGUGCCACUACACUUUCCACACUGAGCAAGACCGGAUUUAUACAGAUGAAGUGCAUGGUGUUGUUCCUAAAUACAGUUUUGAACAUCUGCAUCAAUUGAAAAAGAUGUCACAUGCGACAAUCGAAUACCUAGAGGAAAGUUCACUGAUGACAGAACUGUAUGGGAGGCAGAAGCGAACGGAGGAUCCGCGAAGAGGAAGUACUCUUGAUGCAUUUACGCUCUCAAAUAAGCACCGUUUGAGCCAUUCCACAAGUUUAACAAACAACAAUUGUUUAUAUUCUCCUAGCUUGUGAUAGCUAUGCCCAAAAAUCAAUGAGUGGAAUACUUCUCGAAGAGGAUAGUGAGAGUGAAGAUGAGGCUGACAGAAAUAAAUUGUAAUCUAUAGAUUUGUAUAUUUGGUAAAGUAAGCUAACGCUGUUUUAGAAAUUUUAUUCUAUAUAGAGUAUUGAAAGAAAUGAAAGUUCAUAACUGAUGUUAACUACACUUGAUACUUGCCAGUGAAGUUUGUAAGGGCUUUUAGACGGCGCGGUUGUCAAACUUUGCACAUUAUUGAGAGACAAAUCAGCUCACGAUAAAUAUAUUCAGUGAAUUAAUUUAAUAUCAUGGGCAUUUUUGUACGUAAUUGUUACAGUUUUUUCAUGGGAAUAUAAGUUCGUGGGUGCAUGUUAUAAAGAUUAAGGACAUAAGUACAUGGGACUUAAAUUUGUUGGGAUGGGAUUGUGUGGAUUACUGCAACCAUGAAAUCCGAGAAAAUUUCUCCCACGAAUAUCAAAUGAAGUCACAAUAAUACAAUACUACAUUUUAUUUUCGGCAAUUUCGGGUCGUUUCAUUUAGACAUUGUAUCUGCCAGCUAGGUUUUUAUUUUACCUAUCAGUAUCUUAUGAUUCUGAUUUUUAAAAUGUUAGAUGGACGUCGUGAGCGACUCAUGAAGUCCAGUAAUAAUAUUUCACAAAGUUUUGGAUAUAUUUACAGCCAGAAGAGACACACAUUAUUCUGAGACGGCGGGGUUAUCUCGUAGGACGUCUGUCGAAUAUGACGGAAACAGUCGAGGCACAACAAAUCCCUGACAUUCUUUUAAAUAGUUCUAAAAAGAGUUUAGACAAUUUAUCGACGUCUAUGAUAGAAAGGACAGGAAUAGCUUCUAUUAUGGAAGAAGUUAUAAAAAGAGAUGGUUUGCAUGCAAAUAUUGAAUGAACUAGAAUGUGUCUGUAGGACACAGGGUGUUCCCCCCACUGGUACAUUUGUCACAAAUAAGGUGAAAUAAUUCAAAUGUCUGCAAUCUUAAUGGGGUAUAGCCUCAAAAAAAUAUGAGAAGGUUUCAUUAUUCUAUAUCAUAUACUUUUUGAGAUAUGAGCAUCAGAAACAAAAAAUCCACUAUUUUGGCUAUUUCAUGGGCCAUAACUCUGUAAUAAAUGCUAAUUUUCUCAAGAAGAAUGCCAAGUGUGAAAGGUCACAUUAUGAUAAAGACUCGAGCAAGGUUUCAUGAAUUUACAUUAAAUAUUUUCUGAGUGAGGCAUAUAAUUAGGUGAAUUUACUAUAUCAGGGGCCGUAACUCUAAAAAUAGGGGGAAGACUCAGAUAAAAAAUAGUAGAUGCGCAAGUUCAUAUCAUGAUAAAGACUCGUGCAAGGUUUCAUCAAUUUAUAUCAAAUACUUUCUUAGCUAGGGGUGUCACAAGGUGAAAAUGUGCAUUUUUGACUAUUUCAGGGGCCAUAACACUAGAAAUAGGGCACGGACUCAUAUUAAAAAUGGGAGAUGCGCAAGUUCAUAUCAUGAUUAAGACUCAUGAAAGGUUUCAUGAAUCUAUAUCAAAUACUUUUUGAGCUAGGCGUGUCACAAGGUGAAAAUGUGCAGGUUUUACUAUUUCAGGGGCCAAUACUCUAAAAAAAGGGGGGCGGAGCCAGAUAAAAAUAGGAGCUGCGUAAGUUCAUAUCAUGAUAAAGACUCAUGCAAGGUUUCAUGAAUCUAUACCAAAUACUUUAUGAGCUAGGCCUGUCACAAGGUGAAAAUGUGCAUUUUUGACUAUUUCAGGGGCCAUAACUCUAAAAAUAGGGGGCGGAGCCAGACGAUAAAUAAAAGGUGCGCAAGUUCAUAUCAUGAUAAAGACUCAUGCAAGGUUUCAUCAAUUUAUAUCAAAUACUUUUUGAGCUAGGCGCGUCACGAACCUCGGAUGGACGCACGCACGCACGCACGGACGCACGGCCGGACGGACGCACGGACAAGAACAAAUCUAUAUGCCCCCACCACUCAUGGGGGAGGGCACAAAAGGUAUUAUCUCUUCAGUUUUAGAUGAUUUUUUGUAUAUACAUGUAAAAUAUAAGGGAUUAUUAUGAUUCUUAA